GCAGGCUUUGGACAGCGGUAGCCAGGGCCUGCACCUGUUGUACCAGGGCAUCGAACUGCUCCGGCCGAACUUGAUGAACUGACUCGGUCGGAGGUGAUGAGUUUCGGCCGGAACGCUCCGGGCUAGGUGGAGGACGUUGAGAGGCAUUGGAAGCCCCUUUGCUUCUUAGCUUCAUGGCAGCGAACUCGGGCCCUUCCUCUAGCGCCAACUGUUGCUGGAAAUUGGACCCGGGGGCCGCCGCGAAGCCGG
rnacentral:lncRNA from 1 species